rnacentral:rRNA from 1 species
ACGAACGCUGGCGGCGUGCUUAACACAUGCAAGUCGAACGGAAAGGCCCUGCUUUUGUGGGGUGCUCGAGUGGCGAACGGGUGAGUAACACGUGAGUAACCUGCCCUUGACUUUGGGAUAACUUCAGGAAACUGGGGCUAAUACCGGAUAGGAGCUCCUGCUGCAUGGUGGGGGUUGGAAAGUUUCGGCGGUUGGGGAUGGACUCGCGGCUUAUCAGCUUGUUGGUGGGGUAGUGGCUUACCAAGGCUUUGACGGGUAGCCGGCCUGAGAGGGUGACCGGCCACAUUGGGACUAAGAUACGGCCCAGACUCCUACGGGAGGCAGCAGUGGGGAGUAUUGCGCAAUGGGCGGAAGCCUGAUGCAGCAACGCCGCGUGCGGGAUGACGGCCUUCGGGUUGUAAACCGCUUUCGCCUGUGACGAAGCGUGAGUGACGGUAAUGGGUAAAGAAGCACCGGCUAACUACGUG